rnacentral:rRNA from 1 species
CCCUUAGAUGUCCUGGGCCGCACGCGCGCUACACUGAUGCAUUCAACGAGUAUUUCCUUGGCCGAGAGGCCUGGGCAAUCUUUUAAACCUGCAUCGUGAUAGGGAUAGAUUAUUGCAAUUAUUAAUCUUGAACGAGGAAUUCCUAGUAAACGCAAAUCAUCAAUUUGCAUUGAUUACGUCCCUGCCCUUUGUACACACCGCCCGUCGCACCUACCGAUUGAAUGGUCCGGUGAAAUCUCGGGAUUGUGGCCAGUUCACUUUAUUGGGAGUUGGCUGCGAGAACUUGCUUAAACCUUAUCAUUUAGCGGAAGGUGAAGUCGUAACA